rnacentral:tRNA from 1 species
CAAAUUAGAGCUUGGUAAUAAAGCAUUUUAUUUACAUUAAAAAGUUGUCGUGUGAAUCGAUUUAGUUUGA